UACGGAGGGUGCAAGCGUUAUCCGGAUUCACUGGGUUUAAAGGGUACGUAGGUGGGCAGGUAAGUCAGUGGUGAAAUCUCCGAGCUUAACUCGGAAACUGCCGUUGAUACUAUUUGUCCUGAAUAUUGUGGAGGUAAGCGGAAUAUGUCAUGUAGCGGUGAAAUGCUUAGAUAUGACAUAGAACACCAAUUGCGAAGGCAGCUUACUACACAACGAUUGACGCUGAGGCACGAAAGCGUGGGGAUCAAACAGG
rnacentral:rRNA from 1 species